UAUCUGAUACUGGUAAUUUCUGCUCAGGUGGAUGAACAAUUCCAUUCUGCACCGCCUGGCCGGCUGUCGUUGGUUGCGUCUGCUCCUCGCUCAUGACCACGUGCCAAAAGAUGCCUCUGUCUUUCUUGGAUCCCAAUUAAAAAUACCCUUAGGAAUGAUUAAACAGCAUUUUUUUAAACAUUUCGACACAUAAAAUUGAUUCCCAGUGCAGUUCCGUGGAAACUCGACGUGGGGUCGAGCAAGGUGGUCUGGUCCUAGAGUGCAAUUUUCAGGCAACUAGACCGAUCCAACCCAGUAAUCGGGCAGAGAAAUGAAAGCAACCAAAUCUGAUGUUUGAAGGUCGAGA
rnacentral:lncRNA from 1 species